CUCAAACCUCAGCAAGGAACAAACAGAAUCAGCUCACCAGCUGGUAAUACUCUUUAUUCCAUCUGUAAAGCUCUCAAUUUUGGUUUCUGCAAGCUUUACACAGCACAUGUUUCUUCAGAAAAUCUUUAAAGAUUAUGAAUGCAAAUGUUUGGGCUGGAUUGCCAUGAUAGUGUCUUCUGAUUUGGAAGUACCUGAUUGUGGCAAACUUUGAAUCCCUCCCUUUUGGGAUCUGAAGAGAAGGGAUUUGCAGGUCAGCCUCACCUUCAUCCCUGAGAAGGUGAUGGAACAACUAGAUCUGGAAACCAAAUCCAGGCACAUGAAGAACAAAAAGAUGAUUCGAAGUAGUCAGCAAGUAUUCACCAAGGUAUUAAUUAUCUGGGGGAGAUUAUAAACUUGGUAGCCUGGAUCCAUAUUAAACAGCAGGCCUUUGAGAUUCAGCAAGAAGAAAGUUCUGGAAUACCUCCAUUGUCUCCCAUGAAACUCCAUUUGUCUAUGUCAUAGGUACACAGUGUCAUUCCCAUCUGUCAGCAAAGACCUGGCACCACGCCAAAACAAUAACUGAACAUGAAUGCUCAGACAGUACAACCAAAUAAACAGCAAAACAGGCUACAACAGGAGCUCUGAAAAUAUAACGUUCCUUCCAAGAGAGCAGUACAGAGAGCUAAGCUACCUUCCCUCCCUAAGAGACUUUCCCCUUCAGACAUGUUGCAUAGGUCUCAUCCUUUUUUUGAAGGAACCACGAGAAUGAAGGUUUUUUUUACUCCUUCUCAAUAAAAGCAGGGACUCAAACCAGGCUGCUCCAAUCAUUUCACAAAGCCCAUACAAGGCCAUAGUAUACAUUUCCUUCCUCAUCUCUUCCUUCUUCCAGAUGCAGUAGUUACUUGGAGUUCAGCCUGACUGUGAAUGUGCAGUGCUUGAUAACACUGAAAAACCUUUGUUAUAAAGUUGCUAUAGGUGCUUACAACAGAACCAUUUAUAACCUGGGUAAGAAACAUAGGCAGUGUAUCUAACAACAUUAAAAUAAAACUACUGCUCUGGUUGCAAAAUCAAUAAUCUGUCUGUUACAAAAAGCCAGAAUUAAGACCUUCCGAUUCAUUGUACCUCAGUCCUUUUGCAAGUAACUGAAACAUUCCUUCAUGACAUGUCAUGGUGCUUUUCUGCAUUAUCUGUCUUUCUGUUGGUCAA